rnacentral:rRNA from 1 species
CCCGCUGAACUUAAGCAUAUCAAUAAGAGGAGGAAAAGAAAUCAUAUGAGAUUUCCUUAGUAGCUGCGAGUGAACUGGAAAGAAGCCUAUUGCCAAUUCUUAUGUUUUGUACAAUAAGAGAUGAGGUGUAAAGGUGUUUUGUGUUUAACAGACGUACAGCUUAAUUAUUAUUGAGUGAGUGCUCUGAGAAGGUGAAAAGCCUGUGUGGUUGUGUCAGUCUGUUGAACCGGAACGCUAAAGAGUCUAGUUGUUUGAGAGUACAACUUAAAGUUGGUGGUAAAUUUCAUCAAAGGCUAAAUAUAUGAGGGGACUAAUAGCGAACAAGUACCAUGAGGGAAAGUUGAAAAGAACUCUGACGAGAGAGUUCAACAGUACGUGAAACCAUAAUGAGUAAAACAGAUAACUGUGUUAUUAAUGUGGUGCGCUCUUCAACAGUAUAUUUGGUGUUGCGAUGCUUCGAGAGUAAGCUGUUUAUUCAGUGAAUUGCUCGUCGUUAGCAUAGCCAAAGGUUCUGUGAUCUGGUGCGUACUCGAUCAUUGAGAAACCAUAUUGUCGCGGUAUCGGUGUACGAGAGCCCGCACUAUGUGCGCAGUUGUACGCUGGACGUAGCUGACGGUGUGGUUUGGCUGUGUGACAGCUGUGGGGUGCGUUUGCUGUAUGCGGCUGUUGUAUCUGCGAAUCGGUUUAUUCCUUUUCGCGGUGAGCAUGUUGCAAAAGGCAAGUGCCUCGCCAUCAAUGGUUAAACAUUAGUUAUUUGACCCGUCUUGAAACACGG